GCUCAUCGCUCUUCGUCUCUUACAAAUCCGGCCUAUUUCCUGUAAGAGCCUCACUGAGGGAAGAUCCGAGUAAAGAGCGCACCUGGGGCACACGUGACACGUACGCACCCGUGAAACCAACACCACAGUCCCCGUUGUGAGUGCAUCUCACCCCCACCCCCACCCCAGGCAGCCGGAUCUGUGCUCCGUCUCCACAGGCUACUCUGCAGCUCCUACUUUGAUGUCCGUGGGAUCACACAGUACAGACGCUUGUUGUCAGGCUUCUUCCGCCCGGCACCGUGAGUCAUUCCCGUCGUGAGUCACUGGUAGUUCACGCCCUUUCCCUGCCGCGUGGCACUCCACGUGCGGCUCUCCCACCAUGGCGUUCUGCACUUACCUGUUCAUGGACCAGUGUGCGCUCUCCAGUGUCUGUCUGGCUGUUCCCAGCAGCUGCCGCAGGCCGACUUGGGCAGGUCUCGACACGUGCACUUUGUUCCCGGGGACAAAUGCCUAGGAACAUUGUGGCUGGAUCACAAAACCAGGCACUUAAAAAGGAGAAAUCUCAGCAACAGGCAAUCCGGUUCAUUAAAAUUCACUGGAUCUGGUUUCCUAAGAAAAUUCAAACAGCGUAGGAGGAAAUGGUACUCAGCAUCUGUCACCAGAGUUAGUACGAACAAUAAUGACUAAAAUGUUUCUGAUGUGCCAGCGCCGGAGUCAGAGACUCUCAUCCAAGGUCAUGGAUCAGGCUGACAGACCCACAGUGAAGUUUUACUGAUAAAAUUACCUAUUUGGUAAAAAGUCCAGCAAAAGCUCCAUCAACA